rnacentral:miRNA from 12 species
AUCUUUCAUUAAAAUAUACAUAUAUAUAUAUAUAUAUAUAUAUAUAUGUGUGUGUGUGUGUGUGUAGGGACAUGGACGCACACACACUCAACAUAUUUUUGC